GACGAACGCUGGCGGCGUGCUUAACACAUGCAAGUCGAACGGGCCUGUCUUCUUUUUUGGGGGGUGGGUUGAGUGGCGAACGGGUGAGUAUCACGUGAGUAACCUGCCCUUCGGUCCUGGAUAACCGCUUGAAAGGGCGGCUAAUACGGGGUGGUCCGGUUGGUCCGCAUGGGCUGGUCGGGAUGGAUUCACUGUUUUUGGUGUUUCGGCGGGGGAUGGGCUCGCGGCCUAUCAGCUUGUUGGUGGGGUGAUGGCCUACCAAGGCGGUGACGGGUAGCCGGCCUGAGAGGGUGGGCGGCCACACUGGGACUGAGAUACGGCCCAGACUCCUGCGGGAGGCAGCAGUGGGGGGUAUUGCACAAUGGGCGGAAGCCUGAUGCAGCGACGUCGCGUGAGGGAUGGAGGCCUUCGGGUUGUGAACCUCUGUUUCCGGUGGUGAAGGCCCUGUCCGUGUGGUGGGGUUGACGGUAGCCGGGGAUGAAGCGCCGGCUAACUACGUG
rnacentral:rRNA from 1 species